AGAAUCAACGCUGGCGGCGUGCCUAACACAUGCAAGUCGAACGAGAAAGUGGAGCAAUCCAUGAGUAAAGUGGCGCACGGGUGAGUAACACGUGACUAACCUACCCUUGAGUGGGGGGAUAACCUAGGGAAACCUGGGCUAAUACCGCAUAAUAUCGAGAGAUCAAAGGAGCAAUUCGCUUAAGGAGGGGGUCGCGGCUGAUUAGCUAGUUGGUGAGGUAAUGGCUCACCAAGGCUAUGAUCAGUAUCCGGCCUGAGAGGGCGCACGGACACACUGGAACUGAAACACGGUCCAGACUCCUACGGGAGGCAGCAGUGGGGAAUUUUGCGCAAUGGGGGAAACCCUGACGCAGCAACGCCGCGUGGAGGAUGAAGUCCCUUGGGACGUAAACUCCUUUCGAUCGGGACGAUAAUGACGGUACCGGAAGAAGAAGCCCGGCUAACUUCGUGCCAGCAGCCGC
rnacentral:rRNA from 1 species